rnacentral:rRNA from 1 species
GAUGAACGCUGGCGGCGUGCUUAACACAUGCAAGUCGAGCGAACAGACGAGGCGCUUGCUGCUCUGUCGUUAGCGGCGGACGGGUGAGACACACGUGGAUAACCCACCUAUCUGACUUGGACAACUUCGGGAAACUGUAGCACAUACCGGAUAAUAUCUUGAACCGCAUGGUUCAAUAGUGAAUGACGGUUUUGCUGUCACCUCUAGAUGGAUCCGCGCCGUAUUAGGUAGUUGGUAAGGCAACGGCUUACCAAGGCAACGAUGCGUAGCCGACCUGAGAGGGUGGUCGGCCACACUGGAACUGAGACACGGUCCAGAGUCCUACGGGAGGCAGCAGUAGGGAUUCGUCCGCAAUGGGCGGAAACCUGACGGAGCAGCGCGGCGUGAGUGAUGAGGGUCUUCGGGUCGUAAAACUCUGUUUUUGGGGAGUAACAAAUGUGUAAGAGGCUAUGCACGUCUUGACGGUACCUAGCCAGAGAGCCACGGCUAACUACGUU